rnacentral:rRNA from 3 species
UACGGAGGGUGCGAACGUUGCUCGGAAUCAUUGGGCGUAAAGCGCACGUAGGCGGCGGCGUAAGCGGGAUGUGAAAGCCCAGGGCUCAACCCUGGAAGUGCAUCCCGAACUGUGUCGCUUGAAUCUCGGAGGGGGACAGAGAAUUCCCGGUGUAGAGGUGAAAUUCGUAGAUAUCGGGAGGAAUACCAGUGGCGAAGGCGCUGUCCUGGACGAAGAUUGACGCUGAGGUGCGAAAGCGUGGGGAGCAAACAGG